rnacentral:misc_RNA from 1 species
AGUCCAUGCUCUUCUUCCUUACGCGGCUGCGAUGCGGCGCACACGUCCGCUGACCCAAAAGCAACAAGGCGGUGAGGGGAGGGGGCAUCCCCGUCGUUCGUGCGCUGAUUCAAGGGACUUACUCUUCGCUCUACCCUACCUUGUUAUUAUCGAGCCGUUAUCCUCCUUGUUUACGUUUAUAUUUCUGAGUCGCACGCUGUCUGUGUAUCGCUUCUGCAUUUCGUCGUUGUUGUGCUGUGUCUACCUUCCGCAUGGCAGCUCAUGGUGAGAGCUGGUAGCUGACGCGGAUGAUAGGGAGGGCAGGAUAUUGUCUCGAAGAUGCAGACUCUCGCGCUAGAGGGCCAACAAAAACGAGCGUCGUGACGCUAGCUGUGAGUGGAAGCAGAUGCGCGCAUUUCAUUCGGGAGCUCAUGUCUGCCGGUGCCAUCCGUGCUGGUGCCUUUGCGCACAGUGUUUUUGCACUUCGCGCCCAUUUCUCUGUGUCAGGCUGUGCGUCCUCCCUCACCUCGCGAUCAUUCACCUCUCUCUCUGUCCUUUCUCUGUUCCCGUCUGUCGGUGCCGUUCCGGAUACUCUGGGGGUCUGCAAG